CUUGCAAAAAAGCUUGGCAGAUGUAAUUUAUCAAUAAGAUCAGCAGAAUUAUUUUAUGUAUUAUAACACCAGUGAGAAGUCUGGAAUUCCCCUACUUUCACUUUCAUUUUCAGAGGUUAACGCAGACAGACGCAUUUUGCCGGAAAACGAAUCUGACAUGCCACCUCGAGAUUUUAACCAAGGAAAGACAACUUGAUGUGCUUUGAUUUGAGGGGUCACUCACUGCUGAACGAAAAUUAGGGACAUUGCUAUGUGAAGAAACGUUAACAUUGUCGCCUAUGGGAAAACAAUUAGUGGACUGUACCCAAUAUGUGGAGCCUAUUGGUUCAUGCAGAUGGUGUUUAAAGCUAUCAGUCAGUAAAAACAAACUCAUUUGAACACAUCUUGAGUCUUCACAUGUAAAAUGAUGGCAGUACUUUCAAUAUAGGUUAACGCAGACAGACGCAUUUUGCCGGAAAACGAAUCUGACAUGCCACCUCGAGAUUUUAACCAAGGAAAGACAACUUGAUGUGCUUUGAUUUGAGGGGUCACUCACUGCUGAACGAAAAUUAGGGACAUUGCUAUGUGAAGAAAUGUUAACAUUGUCGCCUAUGGGAAAACAAUUAGUGGACUGUACCCA